rnacentral:rRNA from 1 species
AAGGAAUAUUGGGCAAUGGACGCAAGUCUGACCCAGCCAUGCCGCGUGCAGGAUGACAGCCUUAUGGGUUGUAAACUGCUUUUAUCAGGGAAUAACCGCACGUACGUGUACGUGUUUGAAUGUACCUGAAGAAUAAGCACCGGCUAACUCCGUGCCAGCAGCCGCGGUAAUACGGAGGGUGCAAGCGUUAUCCGGAUUUAUUGGGUUUAAAGGGUGCGUAGGCGGAUAGAUAAGUCAGUGGUGAAAGCCUACAGCUCAACUGUAGAACUGCCGUUGAUACUGUUUAUCUUGAGUGUAAAUGAAGUGGGCGGAAUGUAGCAUGUAGCGGUGAAAUGCAUAGAUAUGCUACAGAACACCAAUUGCGAAGGCAGCUCACUAACAUACAACUGACGCUCAUGCACGAAAGCGUGGGGAUCAAAC